AGUUUCUCUUCACCUUUAAACAUUUUUUUCUCAAUUUCACGAAUUGGGUUUCCUUUGUUUUUUUCUCUUAUGAUUUGGAAGCUUCAUAUCCUAUUUCUGAUCUAUGUCCUAUUUCUAUUUUACUAACAGUUACACUUACAUUUUAGACAUAAACAAAUACAUAUAUAUAUGUUUUGUUUUGAUCUUAAUUUAUAUGAUAUACACAAAUUUAAAUAUAUGUAUAUUCACAUGUUACAUAUGUUUAGUUAGAUGUUUUAGCAAUACUGAAUACUAAUUUUUUAUUUAAAUGAAAGUGAGCAUGUAAAACACCUGAUGAUCAUUUAUUAAUACAAAGUCAUCUAUCUACCUCAAGUAUUAAACAGGCAUAACACAAACAGUAAAUUAAAAGGCAAUGUUAGAAACACAUUAUUUUGUGAGUUUCAAACUUCAGUAUCAACAACUUCAGGGACAUUUUUCAAUAAAAACAUCUAUCAAUAAUAGCACUAUUCCAAGCUUUCUAUUUUUUUAUAGCCUUAUGUUCUUUUGCUCUUCAAUAUGUAGUACUUCUAAAUUAUUUGUAACUAUUAAUAAAAUAUUACUUUUUAAACUUUUCCUCUGAAAAUAAUUUUAUGGUAUGAUUUGCACCACAUGAGUUUAGAUAAUGGAAUGAGCCUGAACUGCAGCAAAAUGCCUAACAAUGAAGGCUAAGAGUUUUUAAAGAUCAGUGUCCAAAUCUGUGGCAAUGUUGGGGUAACAGGAUGUGAGGCUCUUAAGGAGCAGAAGCCAGUCUGUUUCUGUGAAGCACCAGAUUCUCAACUUUUACCUUAAAGGUAUAAAAAUUAAAUUAUUUUGCAGUUCAAAAGGCUGCCUGCAGAUAUACCGCACAGAGUUGUAAGGGAAACAGCCUUAAUUACAGACAUGGUCACGGAUGCUAUACUGGUCUAGAUCUGCCCUGUCCAACGUGGCGGCCUCUGGUCUCAUGUGACUGAGCGCUUGAACUAUGGUGAGGUGGAACUGAGAUGUGCUUUAAAUGCAAAAUAUACACCAGAUUUCAAAGACUCAAUACGAAGAAGAAAAAUUUAUAUAAAGUAUCUCAUAAACAAUUCUUAUAUUGAUUACAUGUUGAAAUAGGAUAUUAAUUUCACCUGGUUCCUUUUACUAUUUUAAUAUGGCUACCAGGUUUAAAAUUUCAUAUGUGGUUCUCAUUAUUCAGAGGUAAUAUGUUAAUUAUCAUUUUCUUGGAGUUCCAAUAAUUGUCUUGGCAACAUCUGUGACAGUUCCAGGUCUGCCUAGUUUAAUUCAGUCCAAAGGAUUUCAGCAGUAAUUUGCUGAAAACAGGAGGGAGUAUCCUCUCUUUAAUGAGACAAAUGUCUACUGAAGUCAUUUUCAUGGCAAAAUGGUAGCUGCCUUUUUUUGAUUUAGUUAUUAUCAUAUGUUCCAACUUCAUGAUAGGGCUCAGUAAUGGGAGCAGUGGCUGAAUUUCUGAGUCUGGAUUUACUUUGUUUUUGUACCAUAUUAUUCCUGUUUUUCUAACUACUCAGAGCCCUUGCAGUUGAUAAAUUACACUAAACUACUCCUGUGCUCCAUAGAUAUAUUACUCUAAAAUCCUGACUUCUUAUUGUUAUUGUUGUCCUCUAUGAAGAGUAACAUCCAAGCCUCCUGACAAUAUCAUCCUUUUAGGAAAAAAUGUGAUCUUAUUGUUUGCUUAGUCACUGUUCUAAAAGAUUAGUGGAUGUGCUCAUUUUGGCAGUACAUAUACUAAAAUUGGAAUGAUACAGAGAAGAUUAGCAUGGCCUCUGAGCAAGGAUGACAUGCAAAUUCAUGAAGUAUUCCAUAUAAAAAUACUCUAAAAAUAAAAAAAUAGGCCGGGCACAGUGGCUUACGCCUGUAAUCCCAGCACUUUGGGAGGCCGAGGCGGGCGGAUGACGAGGUCAGGAGAUCUAGACCAUCCUGGCUAACACGGUGAAACCCCGUCUCUACUAAAAAUACAAAAAAAUAGCCAGGCUUGGUGGCAGGCAUCUGCAGUCCCAACUACUCGGGAGACAGGCAGGAGAAUGGCGUGAACCCAGGAGGCGGAGCUUGCAGUGAGCCAAUAUCACACCACUGCACUCCAGCCUGGGCAACAGAGCGGGACUCUGUCUCAAAAAAUAAAUAAAAAUAAAUACAUAAAUUUUAAAAAUAUUAGUGGAUAAAGCACAUGGCUUGAGUAGGGUUCCCUGCAAUGUCCUCACCCCAUGGCCUUCUGACUGCCUUCUGCCCUUGCUGUUAUGUGGCCAGAGCCUGACACACCCCAACCCACCCCACAGGCUUCACUUCAAACACCCUGUGCCUGCCAUGGGCCCCACCUGUCAGCCUCAAUGCCCCAGUCCUAAGCCUGAACCUACAUACUUUCUCUCAACAUCAAGACUUACCCGAAUAUAUGCCAAACUCCCUCAAACAAAACAUAACACAAUAAAAUGUGAGCAGCUGCUUUAUUUUUCUUAUCUUUUAUCCGUUUGUUGAAAUCUUCUGGAAUUUUAGUUUUGCAUUUUUUUAAUGUUAUGUUUUUAUUUCAGGAAUUCAUUUUAACAGUUGUAUUAAACUGUGCAACUACAUUGUCAAAAAUUAUUUAGACUUAAUUAGUCACAGGGUUUGCUGGUUCCUUUGCUCAUGGUGGCUUGGCAUGGACUAUAGCUUCCCUUUUGCUAACUUCCUUAUCCUGAUUCAUUUCUCAUUUGCCUAAGGCAUCCUUCAGGGGACUUUUCCUCUUUCUUUCCCAGAAAGAAUAUAUGAUAAUUUGGGGGUCCACUGUAUCUAAACAAGAAUUUACUGUAGUCGCCCAUUUGACAUCUUAGAUCUACAAUUCUAAUCUCAAAAUUAUUUGCCCCCAGAACUUUGUGAGCACUGUUUUAUUAUUAUUAUUUUCUUUUUAGAGACAGGGUCUCACUCUGUCACCCAGGCUGGAAUGCAGUGGUGCAAUCAUGACUCACUGCAGCCUUGAAUUCCCAGGCUCAAGUGAUUCUCUUACCUCAGCCUCCCGAGUCUCUGGGAUUACAAGCAUAUGCCACCAUACUCAGCUAAUUUUUUUUUUUUUUUGUAGAGAUGGGUGUCUCACUAUGUUGCCCAGGCUGGUCUCAAACUCCUGGCCUUUAGUGAUCCUCUCACCUUGGCCUCCCAAAGUGUUGGGAUUACAGGCGUGAGCCACUGCACUCAGCCCCGUUACUUUCCAGCAUUUAAUGUUAUUUGACACUUUAGUUGACACUCUGAUUCUUAGUCUUUUAUAGAUUGCCUAUUUGGUUGUGCUCUCUUGCUCUCUUUCCCCAGAGACUUUACCAAGGUAUGUCUCAGUCCAUCCCCAAUUCUUGCUUAACACUGUUUAGAGAAAACUCCCUCUAACCGCACUUUUCCUCUACUCUCACACAACAAUCAUCAACACAGAAGACUUCUGUGAUCAAAUAUGGGUUAAUUCCCCAUACACCCAUCAGCAGACACCAGCUGCAUGUCCUCUAAUUCAAUUCCAACACUAUUUACCUAGAGAUGGUGUCAGAUCCCACAGGCUGAGGGGUCAGUCCCCAAGACUGCCCCUCCACACCAGUCGCCAAGUCCGGGCCUUCAGAACUUCUGACCAACCAGCUUCAAAGUUCCCAUGACCCCUUCUUUGGGUUCAAUAAAUUUGCAGAAGCAGUUCAUACAACUCAGGGAAACACUUAGUUCACCAGUUUAUUGCUCUAUACUGGAAAAAAUACAGACGAAGAAACGCUAGGGCAAGGUAUGGGGGAAGAGGCUUGAAGCUUCCAUGCCCUACCUGGGCACACCACUCUCCCGGAACCUCCACAUGUUCAGCUAUUGGGAAGCUCUCUGAACCCUGUCCUCUUGGAAUUUUGAGUCUUAAGACCCACAAUCAGAAAGGUGGGAGAAUAUUAGAGUGGAAGGAGGGCAGAACACCAGAGGCCUACCUGAGGCCUAACACAUCCAACAUUAUAACAAGACUGUGUAAGGGCUGUGGGAGUUAUGAGCCAAAGAACCCUGGAUGAAAAACCUACAUAUAUAUAUAACACCACACACUCAGUAGAUGCUUUUGAUAUGAACUAUGUAUUUCACUCAGAAGAAUUAUCUGCUCUCAAUAAUGCAAUUAUCAUCUACCUCUCUCCUUUUUACUUUCUAUAGAUUCCCCAUUAUAUGGAUAUUAGUUACCUGGAAUCUGUCAUACUACUUAACUCCUCACUCUAGCUCUGUCUGCUGAAGAUUGUAAAAUAAUUCCACAGCUUAUUCUUCCUUUUAACUAUCUUGUUUCAGCCCUUUCCAUUUUAAAAAUUCAGUUCUUCCACUAAGAUUUUUAUUUUAACCAUUAGAAUUCUUGUUUCCUGGGCCUUUAUUUCACAGCUGUGAUAGAUUCUGAAGCAGGCUCCAUGAUCCCUACCUCCUGGUAGUUGUCAUUUUUAAUACCCUUCCCUAAGAGUGGGAAGGACCUGUGUCUUGCUCUCACCCUACAGAAUACAGCAAAGAUGACAAAGUGUUGCCUGUGUGAUUACAUUACAGAAGAUAGUAACAUCUGUGCUACUGGAAAGGCUCUCUCCCCUGCCGGCUUUGAGGAAGCAAGCAGCCACACUGGAAUGCCUACAUGGCAAGGAACUGAGGGCAACCUCCAGCCAACAGAUGGCAAGAACUGAGGCCCUCUGUCCAGCCAUCUGUAAGAAACUGAAUGUUGCCCAACCACCAUGUGAGCUGAGAAGUGGAUCCUUCCCCAACAAGCCUCAGAUGAGACCACAGUCCUGACCAACACCUUCAUUGCAGCCCUGUGGGUCCCUGAAGCAGAGGACCCAGCUAAGCCUGAAAGAAACUACAAGGUCAUUAAUGUGUGUUGUUUAAAGUCACUAAGUUUGUGGUGAUAUUGUUAUGUAACAAUAUACUAAUACAAUAGCUGCCUAUUUUAAUUUGGUGGCUACCAUGUCUUCUGGGAUCGAGACUUUCUAAAGCUCUACUCAGUCUCCUGAAUCAAUGGUUUUCUUUGAUGGGAAUCACUCUGCUUCUUCUCUGGGUGCCUCUCAUGAUGUUGGGUUUUUCAGAAGUCUCAUGAAUCUUGCAUGGUUGUGAAGUGCACAUAAAGUCCCUAGCUGUAAAGAACUUUCUAAUGGGUGUGAAAUAGGAUUAGAGACAAAGACAGUAAGCAUAAGUAUUUUCAGUUAGUAACAGUUACCAAUAAAAAAUGUAGGAUAAUAUGAUAGUGAUGGCAUGCACGUGUUGGAAGUUAGUGGAGGCUAUCUCCCCAGUGGUCAAAGGAGGUCUUGCUGGAGAAAUUAUAUUUUACUAACUUGAAGCAGCAGCUGUAAGGAAGAGCUUUCCACACUCAAAGAACAGUGUAAUGUUCCCUACCCCACAUUGCUGCUGUAACAAACUACCAUAAACUUAGCAGCUUAGAACCACACACAGUUAUGACCCCACAGUUCUGUACAUCAGAAGUAUAGGAGUCUCUACCAGUUUCUCUGCUCUGGGUCCCAUAAGACUGAAAUCAAGGUGUCAGCCGGCCUGGAUUCUCAUCUGGAACCUCUGGGUGAGGCUUCCUGGCUUAUUUAGGUUGCUGGCAGAAUUCCCUUCUAUGCAGUUCUAGGACUGACACCUCUGGUUUUUGUUGGCUAUUGUCUGGAGGCUCCUGUCAGCUCCUAGAGACUUCUCUCCAGCCUUCGUGCAUGGGCUCCUGAUUCACAGAGCUGCAACUUCAGAGAAAAUCCUUCUCAUGCUCGGAAUCUUGGACAUCCUCUCUGCCACAUCUUUCUUCUGCCUCUUUAGCCCUCCUCUUCUCUAACCAGCCAGAGAACAUUCUCUGCUUUUAAGGACUUGUGAAAUUAGAUUGGCCCUACACAAAUAAUUCAAGAUAACCUCCCUAUCUGCAGGUCUGUAACCGCAUUACCUCUGCAAAGUCCCUUCCCAGCAGUACCUAGAUUUGACUGAAUAAGCAGGGGAUGGGUCUCUUGGAGGAACAUCUUCAGAAUUCUGCCUACCACACUUCCUAUAUGAGAAACAUGUUUGUUGCACCUUAAGAUCCAGUGGGAUGAAGGAAAGUAAGAAAGGAGAGUGAAGAGAAAUGAUAUUUGGCUCUAGGAAGGAAUUUGGAUUUUAUUUUCAUUUAGAUGGGAAUCUAUUGGAGGAUUUUUACAAGGGGAAGUAAUGUUAAGUUAUACUUUAAAAGUGAUCAGUAUGCUGACAGGAGAAAGCUUCCUUAGCAAUUGUCUUUCAUAUUGCCCAGCCAUGGAUAGAGAUGUGUUAACUGUGGCGUGAGCAAGACCUCCUCUAUGUCUUGGCGUAAGCCUGCAUGUGUCAGUGGCAAGGAUAUAGAGAAACUGUAGGAAGUGGGGGUCGACCCUUAAAAAAAUGUGGAAGUAGGUAAAAAGUUACCGAGACAGGAGUGAGUUACAUCAAGAAGUUCCACUGCUUCAUCAAAUACUUGUGCUUCUGUCUAACGUGGCAACCAAGUACCUGCCAUCCUGACUCACUUCUCAGGCUGCAGGGCCCACAAAAGCCAGGCGACUGUAAAUGACUCCCCCUGAUUUAGGGAACUCCACUUCCCAGUGGUUCCACAAGAACAGUUGGUACCAUUUGCCUUGUGACCUCCAGAAACACCUGUCAUAUUUGAAAAUGGUAACCUUCUCUCUUUUCCAACAUCACACUGGAUUGAUUCUUAGUGUGUAUUUUUUCAUUUCAAUGAAAAUUUUGCACAUACGGGCAGGAAAGGUAAAUUUGUGGCUUAGGCCACUAUUUUAAAUGGAAAGUUUGUUACUAUACCUUUUAUUAUUAAGCUAAUAUAUUCUUCUGGGGGAAAAAAAAUGCUGGGGUAGUUUUUUCCUAGAAGCCUUUUAAGGGAAAGUUGAGCUGCAUGCAUUUCUUGGAUACAAAGGUAAGGUGCAACUCUGACACUAAAGCAUGAGACUACCAAGCGCUGAUGGCUCCCUCUCUGGGACUGCAUGGCUUCAUCACACAUGGGGAUGAGAACUGGGGCCUGACAGUCCAGGGCAGUGAGUGAAGGUGAGCAAAGGAGGAGACAAGGCCUCUGCUCUGGACUCACUGACUGCACAGGUUGUUAUAAUAUGGGAGUGCUUGCCCUCGCCAUAUCCGAGGAACCUGGGACUUAGCUACGUUUCCCCUGCCAUCUCUACAUUUCUGAGCAGAAAUGGAUUGAGAGAGCUCUAAUAGCUGUGUUUCACUGGCCGUGGCAGGCCCUGUUGGUCAGCAGGCACACCGCUGCUUGUUGAGAUGCCUGAGCCCAGCUGUCACAAAACACCAAUGGCCCAAGUGCCCUUAACAACAGCAUGUUGCCUUUAUAAAACGCCACCUUAUGUGGACUUCCUAAUUUUUCUUUUUCUCUUAAGUGGUUAUUAUAUAUUAAGUGGUCCAUUAUGCUGACUUAACUCCUUAAUAAAGCCCUCUCUUCAUGUUUUCCCGUUGUUUUUAUAAUGAGCCAAAUUAGUAAUAAAGUUAGCCCUUACCUGACUAUACUUUGUUUUGUACCUCCCAGUACCCAGCACCUGAUACUGUGUAAGCAAUUCUCAAAUUCAUAAAUUUUUGGUAAGUGAUAACAGAAAUCUGGAUGUGUUAUUAAGGAAUGACCAGUACAAUUUCCCUUUAUCACUAAAAAAACAAAUCUUACGGAGUCUGUACAAACUCUCUAAGGUUAGAAUCACUGGCAGUUUUCUAAUGUCCAUUUUAAUGCUCUUUCCAUUAUAAGCCGUGUUGUAAAAGUAUUUUUUAAGGGCAAGAGUUAAAAGUGGUGACUGCAUCUUAUCUAUUCUCCCAAGACUCCCUCCAUUCACCCAGGCUGCUGGGGCAAACCUUCAAGAUGGCCUCACCUGCUUAAACUGUUUAAAAUGUGCUCCCUCACCACCAGCUCCCCAACUAAGGUCAAGAACUAGGAAUAUAAGAAGGAAGUAAAAAGAUGUUAUCUUUAUCCAACCUGUCCUUUUGCCAUGGACCUUGAUAGAAUCCUUUCUUUUAAUCAGAUCCCUAAAGGUGGGCUGUAAAGUGUCCCUUAAAAAAACACUGGGAGAGUAAAAAUGGAGACCAAUAAAUAACAUAUAAGCAUGAGUAGAGAAAAAUAAUAAUCUGGGACAGACCUUUAAAAAAGUUCUAAAGUGUAGAAAAGGAGAAACAUAACUAAGAGAUAUUUCUUUGGAAUUAGAAUUUUUCCACAAAACUAAAGAUAGAUGGCAUAUGAUCUCUAAUAAUAUGAUGCAAAUACCACAAACACUAAGCAGAAUGAGCUAGGACAACCACACAAAAUAGCUGAAAAGAUCCUUCACAGCAACAAGAGCAAAAUCAAGGCAGAUUCAAAGAAGAGGCACAAUCAUAAAACAUGAACCAGGCCUUUUAAAUCUGUAUUUUACUAUUUAAUCCUCACUCUCCAACAAGACAGGUAUAAACUAUUCUCACUUUAGAAUUGAGAUUGAAUAAUUAAGUAACCAACAGUCACCAGUAAAUGACAGAGCCAGAAUUCAACAGGUCUAUUUGGCUCCACAGCCCAUGAUCUUUAGACUAUGAUUCCAUUAAGACCAGCUUGUCAAUAUGAAAGGCACACCUGAGAGAUAUUUUAGAAUUGAGAAAAUGAGUUAAAAUUUCAGAAAAUUAGAAAUUUACCACAGAAUGAAUACAUAUCAAAAGGAUCAUAUAUUAUUAUUAGAUGUAUAAUAAAGAUUUAAGAAGGCCUGAAAUCAUAAAUUAGAAUUACCAUAUUCAUAUCAAAAUUGUUAAGCAUUAAUACCAUAACCAAGUGACAUGUUUAGUAAAAUGUGUAUUUCUACUAAGGGAAUGUAAUUUUUGAAGACAUUAAAUAUCAGGCUAGCAUUCAUGUUUCUGAAACAAUAGCUAAAGACAGGGCAGUGCCACACUUGAGAUAAUUUAAUCCAAGAUUAUUAUAUUCGAUGAAGACAAUCGCAUGUGGCGAGAGUAAGCAAUCUUAAAGUUUCAGUAAGCUUCCUAUCCAACUGCUUCAGAAACACUCAAAAUCACAAAGUGUUGAGACAAAGAAAGCUUCUCUGUGGUAUAACGUAGAAACAACAGUUGACUCCCCAGCUCAAAUUUUCUUUCCAGCUUUAAAAUAUCCUGACUAUUCCUUUCAGGUUUAGAUUCUUAUUUAACAGAGUAGACCUUAAUUCAGGAAAGACCAUUUCUUGAGCUAACAAGAGAGACAUGGGCUCUGCUUAAUCCAAGAUGAGCUAAACCAACUAGACUUUCUCUCCUUGUCACAAUUUCUAAACUCCAUAGAAAGAAGUGGCCCUGUGGCUGGUGAUCAAGGGAGCUUAAAGUCAGGGCUGGCAGAAGCUGUAACUGAAAAAAACUGAUAAUAAAUAUUAAGACCAAAUUUCAGAGCUAAAUAAAACAUUAACAGCUAGAGGGCAAAUGCUGAUAAAUCUAAAUAGCUAGACCCAAGAAGGUGGGAGUGAUCUGCAAUUAAACACCAAGAAAGAAAAACUAGAGAAUUCCUUGACAUCAAUACCAAAGAAACCAAGUUUAUAGUGCUGUUUAUAUAGAAAUAGAAAGGGAUAAAGACAGUAAUGAAUAUUGUGGAAUGUUUUAGGAUGUUAAAAGAUAUAACUAAGAACUGAAGACAAGAAGUUUAACGUCCAAAUUCUAAUAAAAAAGGCCAGGCGUGGUGGCUCAUGCCUGUAAUCCCAACACUUCAGGAGGCUGAGGUGGGUGGAUCGUUUGAGGCCAGGAGUUCGAGAGCAGCCUGGGCAACAUGGUGAAACCCCAUCUCGAUUAAAAAUACAAAAAUUAGCUGGGUGUGGUGGUGCAAACCUGUGGUCUCAGCUACAAGGGAGACUGAGGCACAAGAAUCACUGGAACCCAGGAGGCAGAGGUUGCAGUGAGCUGAGAUCACACCACUGCACUCCAGCCUAGGCAACACAGCGAGACUGUUUCAAAAUAACCAAAACAAAACAAAAAAUGAAUUCUAAUGAAAGACAAUCACAUAUUACAAAGGGAAAAACUAAAAAUUGCAACAAUCUUUUAACAUAAAAACAGAAGGCAAACCAAGAAUAAAAAUUUAAACUAUAUACACAAACUGUCUAAAUUCAACAACUAAAAGUGUUUCAAUUUGUCAUUUCAAAUUGCACUGUUCACAAGAGAAAACAUUAGAACUUAAAUAUAACCUCCACGAGACCAAGGAUAUUUGUGUUGUUCAUUGCUCUACGUUCACUACCUUCAGUUUUUUGAAUAAAUGCAAAAAGAAUGCCAACAAAUACCAAAACUGCCUACUGCCCAAUGCUGCCAUAGCUCUGAUUCAGUGCAGAUGGAGUUUUACACAGGAACUACUUUUUCAAGAGGACAAUUUAGAAUGCAAGCCAAAAGCUUUAAAAAGUGCAUAUUCUUUAAUCCAGGAAUUACUCAAG
rnacentral:lncRNA from 1 species